rnacentral:rRNA from 1 species
AAACCAACAGGGAUUGCCUCAGUAACGGCGAGUGAAGCGGCAACAGCUCAAAUUUGAAAUCUCCCGCAAGAGCGAGUUGUAAUUUGUAGAGAAUGUUUCGGGCACCGUCGCGGGUUAAAUUUCUUGGAACAGAAUGUCAAAGAGGGUGAGAGUCCCGUCUUGGCCCGCGGUAGGACCCAUGUGAAACUCCUUCGACGAGUCGAGUUGUUUGGGAAUGCAGCUCAAAAUGGGUGGUAAAUUUCAUCUAAAGCUAAAUAUUGGCCAGAGACCGAUAGCGCACAAGUAGAGUGAUCGAAAGAUGAAAAGCACUUUGAAAAGAGAGUUAAACAGUAUGUGAAAUUGUUGAAAGGGAAGCGCUUGCAAUCAGACUCGAGCCUCGGGGUUCCCCCUCGCUUCUGCGUGGGUUACUCCCCGUUGACCGGGCCAACAUCAGUUUCGGGGGUCGUUCAAAGGCCCUGGGAAUGUAUCCACGCCUUCGGGGGUGGACUUAUAGCUCAGGGUGUCAUGCGGCCUCCCGGGACUGAGGAACGCGCUUCGGCGAGGAUGUUGGCGUAAUGAUUAUAAGCGAC